CAGAUACUCCCUCCGUCCCAAAAUUCUUGUCUUACAUUUGUCUAGAUACGGAUGUAUCUAAUACUAAAAUGUGACUUGAUACAUCCGUAUUUAGACAAAUCUAAGACAAGAAUUUUGGGACGGAGGGAGUAGUAA
rnacentral:pre_miRNA from 1 species